rnacentral:rRNA from 1 species
GACGGACGCUGGCGGCGUGCCUAAUACAUGCAAGUAGAACGCUGAAGAGAGGAGCUUGCUCUUCUUGGAUGAGUUGCGAACGGGUGAGUAACGCGUAGGUAACCUGCCUUGUAGCGGGGGAUAACUAUUGGAAACGAUAGCUAAUACCGCAUAACAAUGGAUGACACAUGUCAUUUAUUUGAAAGGGGCAAUUGUUCCACUACAAGAUGGACCUGCGUUGUAUUAGCUAGUAGGUGAGGUAAUGGCUCACCUAGGCGACGAUACAUAGCCGACCUGAGAGGGUGAUCGGCCACACUGGGACUGAGACACGGCCCAGACUCCUACGGGAGGCAGCAGUAGGGAAUCUUCGGCAAUGGGGGCAACCCUGACCGAGCAACGCCGCGUGAGUGAAGAAGGUUUUCGGAUCGUAAAGCUCUGUUGUAAGUCAAGAACGGGUGUGAGAGUGGAAAGUUCACACUGUGAUGGUAGCUUACCAGAAAGGGACGGCUAACUACGUG